UACGAAAGGUGCAAGCGUUACUCGGAAUCACUGGGCGUAAAGCGCGCGUAGGCGGAUUCGUAGGUCGAUUGUGAAAUACCUGGGCUCAACCCGGGAACUGCAGUCGAAACCGCGUUUCUUGAAUACCUGAGAGGGUGGGGGAAUACCUAGUGGAGAAGUGAAAUUCGUAGAGAUUAGGUGGAACACCAGAGGCGAAGGCGCCUGCCUGGCAGUGUAUUGACGCUAAAGUGCGAAAGUGCGGGGAGCAAACAGG
rnacentral:rRNA from 1 species